CUGCAGAGCUCCAGCGAGGCCCAGCCUGCCGUGGCUCCGCCCUUUCCUGACGCUUCUGCUAUAGAGACGGGGGCCGUUUGAGGCCCCGCUGUGGCCCUUCACCACGGGGUUAUAGGUUGGCCCCCGACAAGA